rnacentral:rRNA from 1 species
AUGCCUCCCCCGAUCCCAUCUCUUCCACCUCCAGAGCACCGCCACCUCCUGCCACGCCCCACCCCGCCUCACCGCGCACCGCCGGCCGCCGCCGCGCGCCCCUCCGGCACGCCUACCCCUACCCCAAGUGCCCCCACACCCGCGGCCUUCCACCGCCGGCGACAGUCUACCCUGACUGUGUCGCUCCCAAGCCACCCGACCCCAAAUCGCUCGGGUGUCGGCGGCGCUGGCAGCACAAGCAGCUGCCAUGAAGCUGCGCGCCACCCCCUUGCCCCCUUCACCUCCUUCCUCCCACUUGCACACAUGAGAAGGAAUUGA